CCCCCCGGCUGGAGAGGAGCCUUCCAGAGGGUCAAGGACCAAGGGAGACCCACCCCCCCUGCUCCCAAGCUCCAGUCGGCAACGUGGUUGGAUCUUCACCCCCAGCCAAGCCUUUCUGGAGCCCGGAUGAUGUGCGUGCCGAAGUUCUUGCACGUAAGUAUCUACUUGUUUUAUCCCUCAAUGAUCAAUAAAUUAAUUCAUCAUCAAUAUUGAACUUUUUAAAGACCCCUUCACCGGUUGGACCAUCCCAGACCAUUAAUGCUGCGGCCUGUCACUCUCCUUGCCCAGUUAAGACCGUCGGGACACCAGUUCCCUCAUCGUCCUGCUGGCCCUGGAUUAUCGAUGACGGACUUGCCACCUCUCAUUCCCCUUCUUAAGAGGU